rnacentral:ncRNA from 1 species
ACGGUUUCCCUUGAUAUUGGAGAAGCCAGAUGGCACUCAGCGUUGAAGAAAAAGCAAAGAUCGUUGGCGAAUACCAGCAAGCAG